rnacentral:rRNA from 1 species
UGGGGAAUUUUGGACAAUGGGCGAAAGCCUGAUCCAGCAAUGCCGCGUGUGUGAAGAAGGCCUUCGGGUUGUAAAGCACUUUUGUCCGGAAAGAAAUCCUUGGCUCUAAUACAGUCGGGGGAUGACGGUACCGGAAGAAUAAGUACCGGCUAACUACGUGCCAGCAGCCGCGGUAAUACGUAGGGUGCAAGCGUUAAUCGGAAUUACUGGGCGUAAAGCGUGCGCAGGCGGUUUGCUAAGACCGAUGUGAAAUCCCCGGGCUCAACCUGGGAACUGCAUUGGUGACUGGCAGGCUAGAGUAUGGCAGAGGGGGGUAGAAUUCCACGUGUAGCAGUGAAAUGCGUAGAGAUGUGGAGGAAUACCGAUGGCGAAGGCAGCCCCCUGGGCCAAAUACUGACGCUCAUGCACGAAAGCGUGGGGAGCAAACAGGAUUAGAUACCCUGGUAGUCCACGCCCUAAACGAUGUCAACUAGUUGUUGGGGGAUUCAUUUCCUUAGUAACGUAGCUAACGCGUGAAGUUGACCGCCUGGGGAGUACGGUCGCAAGAUUAAAA